GGAGUACUCCCUCCGUCCGGAAAUACUUGUCGUAGAAAUGGAUGAAAAUGGAUGCAUCUAGAAUAAAAAUACGUCUAUAUACAUCCAUCUCUCCGAUAAGUAUUUUCGGACGGAGGGAGUAGUAU
rnacentral:pre_miRNA from 1 species